CCUACGGGUGGCAGCAGUGGGGAAUCUUCCGCAAUGGACGAAAGUCUGACGGAGCAACGCCGCGUGAGUGAUGACGGCCUUCGGGUUGUAAAGCUCUGUUAAUCGGGACGAAAGGCCUUCUUGCGAAUAGUUAGAAGGAUUGACGGUACCGGAAUAGAAAGCCACGGCUAACUACGUGCCAGCAGCCGCGGUAAUACGUAGGUGGCAAGCGUUGUCCGGAAUUAUUGGGCGUAAAGCGCGCGCAGGCGGAUCAGUCAGUCUGUCUUAAAAGUUCGGGGCUUAACCCCGUGAUGGGAUGGAAACUGCUGAUCUAGAGUAGCGGAGAGGAAAGUGGAAUUCCUAGUGUAGCGGUGAAAUGCGUAGAUAUUAGGAAGAACACCAGUGGCGAAGGCGACUUUCUGGACGAAAACUGACGCUGAGGCGCGAAAGCCAGGGGAGCGAACGGGAUUAGAUACCCGGGUAGUC
rnacentral:rRNA from 1 species